CAACCUCUGAACAAACCCAUUAGCUAUUAGCGCACGCUGUUUUUACAGACCUCAUCCACAGGGAUUAUACAACUUGUUUCACACAGCUUCUUGGAGCUGCCGAUCCACACAGAAGAGAACAGUCUGGAACUGUGGCCAGUUACUGCAUUCGCUCAAGUAGCAGAGAAGUGUGCUUUGGAUCUAAAGAUCCAUACAGAUGAUGCAUAUGAGGGGAGGAGGCUAGACUUGAAGGAUUCUGGUGUCAGGGCAGGAGCCCAACAGGGUCAAAAUUUAUUUAUAUCAACCUUUUUUCAUUUGCAGACCCCUAAAAACAUUUGAAUGGAGGUGUGGACCCUUUUGGAAAUUGUAGCCAUAUUCUGUGGGCCCCUAAGGGGUCCACAAACCACAGGUUGAAAACCACUAUUUUAGGAUAACAACAACCUUUCAUGAACCCUUUAGACAUAGUCUGCAGACCCCCCAGGGGUCCGCAGACCAGAAAACCACAAACUUAUACUGAUCUUCUCACGUUUCCUCUGGAAAUGUUUUUUUUCCUUUUGGACU